GCCCCGAUGGGCCAAUGGUCAAAAUGGGACAGUUACCAUCAAUCAUGAUGCCAUGUAUGAUCAAAAUCGUCAUUGAUGGUGAAUGUCUUAUCCGGGUUCGAGUCCCGGUUGGGUGU